UCUACAGGUCGAGCAAGUCUCGUAAAUUUCACGAUUGCGAGCCACGCUUCACGCAACCGUGUUUGCGUACUUGUGUUUCAAGUUGCGUGGUCGUACGGAGUUAUAUUUACCAAAUUUAAAUAUAAUCGUUUUCAAAAUUAAAUCAAUAUGUCAAUAUGGCUACUGGGUGUAAAAGAUAAAUCUUAUUCUAUCUGUUCUUAAUGAGUUUUAGAUAAUUUUAGUUGUAUUUCUUUGUAAUUUUGUGUUGUACAAAGAUUAAUUUAACAUUUUCUCUGGAAGUAUUAAUUUAGAAAGAUAAUAUGCUUCAUUGGUGUUGUGUUUUGAAGUGUGAAAUGUGAUAAAGUCAAGAUAAAGUUCACUUUUAAACUGAACUAAAUAAGGUAUCUGAGAGACAACAAUGGUUAAAUGCAAUACAAUGUACAGGUUUUACUAGCGAAAUGAAAAUUUUCCUGUCCUGUCUGCUGUAAUCAUUUUAUAUCUGGAAAACCAGCCGACUUAAUAGAUAAUAACAAUCUCCAGAUUGGGUUCCUUCAAUAAAUAUGGUCUAUAAACACAAUGAAAUAAGUUCCCCAAAAUCUAAAAUGGAGUGGUAUCAAAGGAGAAUUAAAGGGAAAAAUAUUCAUAUUGAAAUUAUUUAUAAGGCACUGGACUGUCUUAAAUUCUACAAUAAUACUAGAAUCAGCUGAGAGAAGUGGUCUACAAAAAACCAGGAAGGAAACGGAAUAUGUGGCUACGAAAGGCAAAAGAAAUGUUUACAAAGCAAAUGUGACACAUUUUUUUGAAAUAUUUAGGAAUAUCAGUAAAUUGCAUUAAAAAAAUGUAUGAAAAGAUUUGUUCAAUAAAAAUGUUUAUAUUUA